CGCUCAUCUCGCUCUGUAGGCCGAGGGAGCCGGCAUUUGUCCACAGACAGCUUCUGGGUCAUGUGGCCAGCAUGACUAAGCUGCUUCUGGCAAGCCAGAGCAGUGCACGGAAAUGCCGUUUACCUUCCCGCCGGAGCGGUACCUAUUUAUCUACUUGCAGUUUGACGUGCUUUCGAACUGCUAGGUGGGCAGGAGCUGGGACCGAACAACGGGAGCUCACCCCAUCGCAGGGAUUCAAACCACCAGCCUUCUGAUUGGCAAGCUCUAGGCUCUGGUUUAGACCACAGUGCCGUCCACACAUACCCUUUUACCAUGUUUAAUUAGGCUGCCUGCUCAUUGAUAUUAAACAUCAGGCAAAGUAAUAAGGUAGCAUUCUGCUUGUGAUCAGCUUCAUUUUUUGAGGGAAGACUCAAUACACUUAUUAGCGAGAAGCAGAGCUUUUUUUUCAGCCAGAGCUCAGCUCUGGCACCUUUCAGGUGAGCGCCAUUGUCAUUCUAAGAGAACAAGGGAGAAGUUCCUGGUAAACUCCAGCACCUCUUUUCCUAUAAAAAUAACACUGCCAAGAAGACACUGCUGAUUUUAAAGAGCCUGCAUCUCUGGAAGCGGAUCAGGUGCAAAGUCCUGUGUGUAAUUUAUAAACUUGUCUCUCUGCCUCCUGUAUGGACGAUAUUCUAUCUUUUGAAAGGAGGCUGGACUUUGGUGGACAAUAUUGUUUACAGAACCGUUUGCAAAACAUGGCAUUCACUUCAAAAAGCAAUAGUUUCCUACAGUCCAUUUUUACUUACACUGAUCUUCAGCAUAGUAAAGGAUUUUGUUAGAAAGAAUUAUUAUCUCUUCUCUGAUCAGCCUACCACUGUUUCUGAUAAAGACUGCUGACUGGUGUUUUACAGCAGCAGGUUUAAACAUGCUGUUCUAAUAUAAGCACAGUAAAGUUAGGCUUAUUUCUGGUAACAACAAUUUAAAGUUGUUACCAACUGCUGAAUAUGCACAAGAUUUCCUCCGUAUUGGGACAUUUUAAUUUUAGCCUGCUUCCUGAAAGAAAUAACCUAGCCUUUCAUUUGCAGAUUCCACGGUAUAUCAUUUAGUACAAUAUUGGACAGCUGGAAUGUUCUUGGUGAUAAUUGUAGAAAAUAUUAAUUCUGUGGAACCUAGUUCAACGUUUGGCCUUAAAAUCAUAUUGAUUAAAUUAACUAGUGCAUAGGUAUCCUGCCGGCAUGUGUACUAAAGGCAGAGGCAACCUUAUCACUAAGGCAGGGUGAGGUAGUAACUGCAGAUGCCAAUUGUUCCUCUUGACUCUCCCAACCAUUUUCAUUUGUUAGUGGUAUGCCCUGCAUAACCAGCCUACUCCCUCAUCUAUAGUUGACUCGUAUUUUGUUAAAGAAUGGACUUAUGAAUGUGGCCUUAUCAAUGGCACCCAAACCUUAGGAUCCAGCAGUAUUCUCAGUGGGUGUGGUCCAAAAUACUUACAGAUAAAAGAUCUUCAGAAUAAGGGCUGAACUCGGAAAGACCCACAACAGGGCUGUUUUGCUUUCUUUUUCCAACAGUAGCUUCCCCAUGCUGUUUUGCAUAUCACUACAACAUACCCACAUUUCAACACGUUGGCAGGGGCAUCACUAUCCUAAUGCAAACAUAAAGCAGUAUCUUGUGCUGCUUUCAGUCGUGGAACCAGUCACAAUGUAAUAAAUGAGCUGUGUGUUUUGCCAACUUCAGUUGGAACUUGGCUGGGCUGCCUUUUUCUUACCUGGGAACUAUGAAUGUCUGCCUAUGUGAGGUAGUGCUCAAAUGGCAUUCCCUUUCCCAACAAGAAAAACUAUGUCUUUAGUUUUAGUGGGUAUAUUGGGGUAGUGUUGUUCACUUUUAGCAUGACGUUAACCAGAAGCAAGCAUUGGAAAUUGAAGCUUUUAAUUUCAACUUCCUUGAUUGCAGCUGUAGUCCCUCUUCAAAAUAUUAGUGACAAAAUAAUGGAAAGUAUACCCCUCUCCACCAAAGCUUACUUUUCCCUCCUUCUAGCCUUAACUGCGUAGGAGCAACAGAGGUUUAAUUUGCAGUUGGUAGCUGCAUUCCCCCAAGGACACAAUCAGUGAAUGAUACUAAUUGGAAAUGAUCCAUAAAAAUAGAACAACAAGGCUGACCUUAUGUAUCCUAAGUUCAGAUUUUACAGUCAGGCUAGUGAUCCUGAAGACGUACUGAAUAGGAAUUAUUUUGUCAACAAGAUAGGUAGUAAACACAUUGCUGUGGGCAGAAUUUAUCUAGGAUUCCAGAGGCAGCUUGGAAUUGCCAUACUGUUUGUCACCCAUUGUCAUUUUAAAAGAAUCUGUGCCACAAAUGGCUGACUUUGGCGCUACAUGGUUUCGCUGGCUACCUCCUGUUUAUAAAGAUUUACAGGGUCACUGCAAUGUUAAGUGCAGAUUUUGCUACUGGUGAACUUUACUAUGUGAAGUAUUCAGGGCCUAUUCAUAUUUUAAAUUAACUUUACAAUAAUUGUUACCUUGAUGUAUUGAGCAUUUCCUGAAGAACAUUUUAGGAUUCCAGAAGAACACAUACCAAUGCCCUAAUAUAAACAUAUUAAUUGGUAUGGGAUUGCUCCACUUAAAUUGGCUAUAAGCAACAAUAUUUCAUUAUGUUUCUUACUCAUGAAAAUAAGGUCUCUGUUGUUACCGCAAUUACACUUCCACUGCUUGCCACCAUAACCUGGUAACAGCAGCAGCAAAAUACUUUUGUUCGGGGCUUUACAUUAUGUGGAAUAUUAUACAACUAUAAUAUGUUUGUUUUUAUUUUUAGACAACCACUUCACUUUAAAAUAUUGUAAAGAUUUAACUGAAUUUUUUAUUACAGUUUAGGUGUACAGCACGUAGGAAACACAGAACAUAAACCCAAAGGCUGAGUCACAUGUGAAAUCUACGUGAACAGUUAAUCUUUGAUUUCAGUAAGAACUAUGCAACUCAAGGUUUUUUGCAUUCUAGUGGACUACAUUAAUGUGAAUGUUACAUGUGGAUUAAAACGGCUACGUCAAGAACAAUAACUUCCUCCAAUAACCAUAGAAGCCACAAGUAAUCUGAUGCAGGGAUUCCAGCAAGAGUCAGACCUUUAAAAAUAUCGCCUUCUAAGUUGUUUCCAAAAUUCCCCACUUCCCUUAGCAUAGAAAGAGACCACACUUGGCAAGAAAGGAUCUAAAGAAAGCAGAUGUCAGACGAACUGUAGUGGGUUUCACAGAAUCCCUUUCAUCUACUUAAACCACUCAUGAA